rnacentral:rRNA from 1 species
GACGAACGCUGGCGGCGUGCCUAAUACAUGCAAGUCGAACGAGAGCGACCGGUGCUUGCACUGGUCAAUCUAGUGGCGAACGGGUGAGUAACACGUGGGUAACCUGCCCAUCAGAGGGGGAUAACAUCCGGAAACGGAUGCUAAAACCGCAUAGGUCUUCGAACCGCAUGGUUUGAAGAGGAAAAGAGGCGCAAGCUUCUGCUGAUGGAUGGACCCGCGGUGCAUUAGCUAGUUGGUGAGGUAACGGCUCACCAAGGCCGUGAUGCAUAGCCGACCUGAGAGGGUGAUCGGCCACAUUGGGACUGAGACACGGCCCAAACUCCUACGGGAGGCAGCAGUAGGGAAUCUUCCGCAAUGGACGCAAGUCUGACGGAGCAACGCCGCGUGAGUGAAGAAGGUUUUCGGAUCGUAAAACUCUGUUGUUAGAGAAGAACAAGAGCUAGAGUAACUGUUAGCGCCUUGACGGUAUCUAACCAGAAAGCCACGGCUAACUACGUG